rnacentral:tRNA from 1 species
CAGAGUGCAGCUAAACAGUAUAGCAUCUCCCUUACACCGUGAAGAUAUCCGUGCAAAUCGGUUCACUCUGA